rnacentral:rRNA from 1 species
UUGUUCAGACUAAGCCAUGCACGUCUAAGUACAAACUAAAUGAUGGUGAAACUGCAAAUGGCUCAUUACAACGGUUAUGAUGUACCCGGGAGUUCCGAUGGAUAUUUCCAGUAACACUAGAACUAAUACAUGUCCCUGCGUUUAUUAGUUUCGCACAGUCCGUCGCUGAGUCAUGGUAAACAGUUGAUCGACUCGACGUCCCGGAACAGUUUCCGCCCCAUCAGCUUCGAUGGUUGGGUAUUGGCCUACCAUUGCAACAACGGGUAACGAGGAAUUAGGGUUUGAUUUCGGAGAGGGAGCCUGAGAAACGGCUACCACAUCUACGGAUGGCAGCAGGCGCGCAAAUUACCCAAUGCAGACACUGUGAGGUAGUGACGAGAAAUAAUAAAGCGGGACUUCUGUUUCGCUAUUAUAAUGAGGAAUAACCAAAGGUCAUUCCGAUUAGCAACUGAUGGGAAAGUCUGGUGCUAGCAGCCGCGGUAAUACCAGCGUCAGUAGCA